CCUACGGGCGGCAGCAGUGAGGAAUAUUGGUCAAUGGACGGAAGUCUGAACCAGCCAUGCCGCGUGCAGGAAGACGGCUCUAUGAGUUGUAAACUGCUUUUGUACAAGGGUAAACCUGAAUACGUGUAUUCUGCUGCAAGUACUGUACGAAUAAGGAUCGGCUAACCCCGUGCCAGCAGCCGCGGUAAUACGGAGGAUCCAAGCGUUAGCCGGAUUUAUUGGGUUUAAAGGGUGCGUAGGCGGAUCGAUAAGUUAGAUGUGAAAUAACCGAGCUUAACUCAGGAACUGCCUCUAAUACUGUUGAUCUAGAGUGUAGAUGCGGUAGGCGGAAUGUAUGGUGUAGCGGUGGAAUGCUUAGAGAUCAUACAGAACACCGAUUGCGAAGGCAGCUUACCAAUCUAUAUCUGACGUUGAGGCACGAAAGCGUGGGGAGCAAACAGGAUUAGAUACCCUUGUAGUC
rnacentral:rRNA from 1 species